UGAGUGGACACCCCACACGUUCUACCCAAGGGCCGUGAGUGGCCAAGAUCGGGGCUCAGAAGUCUCUGAAUCUUCACAGCUGGUCACGUUCAGCUCGGUCACUUCCUGUAAGAUUCCAGGCACUGCAUGCACUGACAUGGGUGCGUGUGGGGCCACUGGGUCCUGCCUGGGAGCCUUCCCUGGAUGUUCAUUUUGUGCAGGAUUGCCCUUUACAGUUCAUGAGUUCCCCCAACUGGAGUGCAGACAAGAGCACUGACUGAUGGACCAGGUAGACUUGAAACCAGGAAUAGCACAAAAGUUAUCAAAGAGGCUCAGCCAUGGAGAUUGCAAGCUGGGGAUGGAAGUAUCCCUGGAAUUGAGCUGUUCUCACACCUGGAACCUGAGUUAUACCCCUGGUGUCUGGGUACCAAGGUCACUAGCCUUGCCACUUUUCUAUGUUCCUGAUCCCCUACUAAACAUUCCACCUUUUCGCCUACUUCCCCUGACUCCUGUACCCUGUCCCCUCUUUCUGCCUAGUUUGAAGACACUGGUCAUCCCAUAACAUGUCCUGGGCUAAUACAUAUCCUCAAAUCGUUCUUGAAAAUCUGUUCCUCUGUGAGAUGGGCCUGAUCUCUCCCACGGGUGGAACAGAGGAGUAGAGGGUCCAGGGCCUGAGUCUCCCAUAGGCUAAGUAUUUGCCCUGAGUCAUAAAGCCAGUGGGAGGCAGUGCUACAGUUUGAUUCCAGGAAGUCUCAGACCAAAGUUCUCUCUUAACCACUUACCUUUCCUGGGCUUAAUAGCUCAUUUAUGUUUUUCCUGGCACUGCUUCA
rnacentral:lncRNA from 1 species